UUCGGCUCGUUGACACCCCUAGCUACUCGCUUCGUUCAUUUCUUUUUAGAAAUAAAUUUAUUUAAAAAUGUGAAUCAAUUAGGAUUCGAACUUGGGACCUCAGAUACCAACCACCAAGCCCUUUGCCACUUGCAUUAAGGAUAGUCGUUUAUAUAUAUUUAAUUUUUUAAAUUUUUAAAUUUUAAGUUUAAAAUUUUAAAAAUUUUAAAAUUUUAAAUUUUAAAUUCUAAAUUUAGAUAUUAAAUUUAAAGUUUUAAUUUUCAAAUAUCA
rnacentral:lncRNA from 1 species